UGUGUAGAUGGGGCAUCCGUGUGAGGAUGGUUUAGUAAGAGAUCCCUUUUGGGGUUGUUGACUUCUAUUAUCUUGUCAUUUGAUGUUUUUCCUAGUGGAUUUGUAGUGAUAGAAAUGGGUUUUCUUAGUCUGCUUUGGGUUUGUUGUGAGUUUUAGGACAAGAAGGAAGGGCAGGUUGCAGAGGAAGCCGGGACCAAUGAAAUCGAUGUCCAUGGUGAUGCUGGGAGGGAAGAAGACGAUGUGGUGGUGGAGAUCCAUGCAGGGUUCAAGCCGGUAGAUCACCCACUCGAGCCUCCGGACGAGGACCCACCUGCGAAAUGGCCAAUGCCCGAUUCUUCCCUUCUGAAUGUUCAAGUUCCAGCCUCGGGGUCUGAAACAAUAGAAUGUGGUGUGUACCAGCACCCAUUCCUGGUUGGUGCUCAUUGAUGUCUUCUGAUUUUAUCACAUCGUGGUAAUGCAUCCGACUGAGCUUCAGGAAAUUUUCUGUGUCACAGCUAAUAGGCUCGGUUACCGGCUUUGUAUAUUCAUUAAUAUGGUCAUGUUUUACUCAUUAGACUUGGUGGUUCUUUGUAUAUGAAUCUUCUUUGAGCAGGCAUAUUUGGGAUCGUCAAGUGUGUUAAGUGGGUUCGGAUGACUGGAAACUAAUUUAAAAUGCUUGGAUGGUUUUAUUUGUUGAUGCUUGUCUAGUCUGGCAUUAGCAAUUUACUCAAUAAAUUAGUCGGAGCUGCUUUGCUUCCUUUAUGUUUAUA